rnacentral:rRNA from 1 species
UACGUAGGGUGCAAGCGUUGUCCGGAAUUAUUGGGCGUAAAGGGCUCGUAGGCGGUCUGUCACGUCGGGAGUGAAAACUCAGGGCUUAACCCUGAGCCUGCUUCCGAUACGGGCAGACUAGAGGUAUGCAGGGGAGAACGGAAUUCCUGGUGUAGCGGUGAAAUGCGCAGAUAUCAGGAGGAACACCGGUGGCGAAGGCGGGACUCUGGGCCGAUACUGACGCUGAGGAGCGAAAGCGUGGGGAGCGAACAGG